rnacentral:lncRNA from 1 species
AAAAAAAGAACAAAAUAAAUAGAUAAAAAUAUAAAGAUUUUUAUCUGAAUUAUAAAUUAUUUGAUUUGGUUUCUAACCUUUCAAAAGUUUGAUUUUAUUAUCAAACCUUUCAAUUUAUUUGAUUCAAUUCAGUCUAUGGCAUUUAAACUUUAAAUUUUGAAUGUGCCGUUUAUUUUUAUAUAUUUAAUUAAUAAAAAUAUAAUUCUCGCAACUAUAAAUUUAUAAAAAUAAGUUAUUAGUUUAAAUUUUAAUGUCAAAAUGUCAACUGACUCGAAUCAAAUAAAUUAAAAUAUUGGAUAAUAAAAUUAAAAUUUUGAAAGAUUGGAUAGUGAAAUCAAAAUGAUCUAUUUUUCAAAAUGAUCUAUAAUUCAAACAAAUAUUAUAAAUAACUUACUAGAAAUAUCCUAAUUCACAUAACUUCACCAAGACUAAUAAGAAUCACACGAUACAAAAAACUAUGAAACAUCACACAAUAGCCUUGCAAUAGUUAGAAAAGGGAUCUAUAAAUUCGUUUUCAUUUUUUUAGGUUAAUUGCAUGCAACUUUCUAUAAACAUAUCAAAUAGCAAAUAUAUUCCUAUAAAAUUCAACUUUUAAUUCAUAUCCAUACAAAAGUCCAAGGAUAUUUAUAUUUAUCCCUCUGGCUUAUUACCGUUAGAAAACUGCUUAUUUUUUUAUAGCAGAUAAGUAAAAUGUCAAUUUUGCCAUCACAAAUAUAUCCCUCGAAAAGCUCGAACUGUUAUAAUCGUGCAUAAAUAUCUUCCCAAAAAAUUUUCAAUAGUCAUCUUCUUUCUUUUUAAACCAAAUCCAAUCUAUUAUUGUUGCAAUCUCUUCUCUCACUCAUUUUUCCUUAAACAUUCUUUUAAAAAACAAAAUAAGAAAAAAUCAUAGAGAAAAUUGAAUGGGAAAUCAACACGCGAGCAACACACAUUAUCGAUGAAUAGGGACGGAAAAAUUCUAGUUAUACGGGUUCGAAACUAGCACGAAGGAUAGAGAGAAAGAGUAAGAGGAAGAAGAAAAAUUUUUAUUACUAGAGUUUUGAUUGGAAGAAGAAAGUAUAAUAUAAGAGAGCUAAAAAUAUCAAUUUGUCUCGUUGACUAACUAUGGUUAACUAAAAUUUUCUAACGGAUCCUAAUGGUAGAGAUAUAUUUAAAAAUAUUAAGACUUUUGCAGAGGAAUAUAUUUAUAAUUUUUUAUGUUUAUAGAAACUUGUAUGUAAUUUUUNUAU